rnacentral:piRNA from 1 species
UGAUCUGUUCGUUUCUAAGGU